rnacentral:misc_RNA from 1 species
GUUAACCUCUGGGAUAACCACCUUUGCACAUCAAGAAGGUAAAAAAAAACUGCAAAUUUUGUAUGAUAACUAUUCCAUCAGUAACACAAUAGUAAAAGACUACAACUUGAACUAAGCAUCACUUGCUUCCUGCUUCCGAGGAUAAUAAUCACAACCAUUCCAUUCUACAACAUGCACACAUUCCGCCUUCUGUGAUGGCAGUAGCAAUCAAUUUUGCAAUGGAAAUUGAAGAAACCACAUCCCUCUCCUUGGGAAAAAGUAGCAAAACUCCACAACAAAACGAGUUCUGAUGCUGUCAAAGAAUAAUGUCGAGAAAGUCAAAAAUAAAAUGAAUCACUCCUUUCUUUAUAGCUAGCUUGACAUUGAAGGCAUGCUUGCUGCUUCAACUUUGGCAAUCUAGUAAUUCCCUGAUCAGCUUGAAAAUGAUAGCUUCCUACUGGGAUUAGCACUGGCCUUCAUGGACACCAUUUAGAGUUCCUGCACCUUGCUUGUGUUUCUCAUGUGGUAGAGAUAAUGGCAUCAAGGUUCUUUUGAAGCAGCCAGCCUCCUGGAUAGACAGCUCCGUGAGCUUCCAAAUGAAGGUGCCAAUUCAAUACCCUUGAGCAACCAGGAGGGACAGCCUCCAUUUG